GUUCAUAAGAAUCUAUGCACAUAUACUAAAACUGGAAUGAUACAGAGAAGAUUAGCAUGGCCCCUGGGCAAGGAUGACACACAAAUUCAUGAAGUGUUCUGUAUUUUU
ensembl:snRNA U6 U6 spliceosomal RNA